GACGAACGCUGGCGGCGUGCUUAACACAUGCAAGUCGAGCGGUAAGGCCCUUUCGGGGGUACACGAGCGGCGAACGGGUGAGUAACACGUGGGUGACCUGCCCUCAGCUCUGGGAUAAGCCUGGGAAACCGGGUCUAAUACUGGAUAUGACUCCAUGACGCAUGUUGUGGGGUGGAAAGCCUUGUGCGGCUGAGGAUGGGCCCGCGGCCUAUCAGCUUGUUGGUGGGGUGAGGCCUACCAAGGCGACGACGGGUAGCCGGCCUGAGAGGGCGACCGGCCACACUGGGACUGAGACACGGCCCAGACUCCUACGGGAGGCAGCAGUGGGGAAUCUUGCACAAUGGACGAAAGUCUGAUGCAGCGACGCCGCGUGUGGGAUGAAUG
rnacentral:rRNA from 1 species